UGGCACUCCUGAAUCACAUCUCCUUCUCCUAGAGUUCUUGGCGUCAUCUGAUUCAGGGGAAUGUAGAAUGAACGGACUAUCAGGCCGAUGAUGUGU